rnacentral:rRNA from 1 species
AGUGAACGCUGGCGGUAGGCCUAACACAUGCAAGUCGAACGGCAGCACAGUAAGAGCUUGCUCUUCCGGGUGGCGAGUGGCGGACGGGUGAGGAAUACAUCGGAAUCUACUUUUUCGUGGGGGAUAACGUAGGGAAACUUACGCUAAUACCGCAUACGACCUACGGGUGAAAGCAGGGGAUCUUCGGACCUUGCGCGAUUGAAUGAGCCGAUGUCGGAUUAGCUAGUUGGCGGGGUAAAGGCCCACCAAGGCGACGAUCCGUAGCUGGUCUGAGUGGAUGAUCAGCCACACUGGAACGUGGACACGGUCCAGACUCCUGCGGGAGGCAGCAGUGGGGAAUAUUGGACAAUGGGCGCAAGCCUGAUCCAGCCAUACCGCGUGGGUGAAGGAGGCCUUCGGGUUGUAAAGCCCUUUUGUUGGGAAAGAAAAGCAGCAGGUUAAUACCCCGCUGUUCUGACGGUAACCAAAGAAUAAGCACCGGCUAACUUCGUG